CUAUUACUCCCUUCGUCUGGAAUUACUUCUCAUAGAAAUGGAUGUAUCCAGACAUAUUUUAGUUCUAGAUACAUCAUUCCUUUAUAUUUUGGUGACAAGUAAUUCCAGAUGGAGGGAAUAUCUA
rfam:Hordeum vulgare subsp. vulgare, WGS project CAJW01000000 data, contig: morex_contig_91103